CAUUUCUGUAGUAAAAAAAUAAUAUUGAAGUACGGCUUCUCGUAUGUCAAAUAAAAUAUUUAAAUUGUUAUAAUUUUUUUUUCUUGGAUUUAUUUGCUCACAUGUACAUAAUCAAAUAUUUCUUGAGCUAUAUAAUUUUAAAUGUAUAACUUAAAAUAUAAUUAAGAUAUUAUGUAUAAUCUUUAAAACGAACCUAUUAGGCGUCUAAUGGCGAGUACCAACGUUGACCCCACCUUUGGUAACUAAGUUAAUUUUGUUUGAUAACUUAAUGUUUUAUUAUACUGUCCAAAUAACAUAUAUUAUUAUAUUAUUAUAUUUUGUACAAAGUAUAUAUAUAUAUACUAAAGGGCAAUUGCCCGUGUAAUUAAAAAUAAAAUUAAUAAAACAAAAUAAUACUUGUGUUCAUUU